AAUACCAUUGGGGAAAUUUAGAUUGUUGUAACAACCUCAUGUCUUCUGAUGCAUAUAAUCUGUCCCUGAGUCUAAGUGGGCUUGGAAUGUGUAUGUGUGUAUGUCCUUCAUCACACUAGUGAGAUCAAGAUGGAGAAACUGAGAUGGAACUUUUCAUGUCUUGAUCCUUAGCUUUGCUAGGGGCUGGUAACAAAUUUAACAUCCCUUUUCCUUAGCCCAUCCAUUCUGUCCUUAAAAGCGAGUAUUUUCCAUUACAUUUCUCCCACAGCCAUGAAAUAAGUGCACCUGAGAAGAACACUGAUGUGAGAGCAGUUUGAUGGUCUGUUCCUGAAAGCAAGGAUCCAGCAUAAAUGGGGAAUAAUGUCUGUCUGCAGAGAAAGUGAAAAACAAACUGAAUCUGGGUCCCAUUUAUAGUCCCUUCCUCCAUAUAUAAGCCCUCCAUAUACAAGUCGUCGUUCCACAUUCACCUACUUACCAACAUUUUGCUAGUAAUGAAGAAUAUGUGGAAUAUCCAGCUUCAUAUAACCAGCAUUGCUUGGAGGGGUUAAUACCAUAGAGUAAGCUGUUCUGCCUGGCUUAGCUAGGUCACUCCCCCUCACCUUGGUAGGAAGAGUCAUCAAGCCUUUGUUCUUCCAAUUCAGC
rnacentral:lncRNA from 1 species